GCGCCCAUAGCUCAGUCGGACAGAGCGGCUGCCUUCUAAGCAGUAGGUCGCAGGUUCGAGUCCUGCUGGGCGCGCCA
rnacentral:tRNA from 2 species